UACGGAGGGUGCAAGCGUUAUCCGGAUUCACUGGGUUUAAAGGGAGCGCAGGCGGAUUAGUAAGUCAGUGGUGAAAGCCUUAAGCUUAACUUGGGAACUGCCAUUGAUACUAUUAGUCUUGAAUGUUGUUGAGGUUUGCGGAAUGGGUCAUGUAGCGGUGAAAUGCAUAGAUACCAUAAAGAACACCGAUUGCGAAGGCAGCUCACUAAGCUUUAACUGACGCUGAGGCACGAAAGCGUGGGGAUCAAACAGG
rnacentral:rRNA from 1 species